UUUUUUUUUUUUUUUUUUUUUUUUUUUGCCAAUUUUGUAUCCCCUUCCACUUUAUUUCCAU
rnacentral:ribozyme from 12 species